CCGUUCGAAAAAACUUCCUUUUAUGUGAUUUUAGAUCUACUUCAUCCCCAUUUAGCACCUUCACUCAUCACGGUACUACACCUACAUACCCGUGCAUCUUAAGGUCGAUGUAGGACAUGAUCAGACCAUCUCAAGUGACUUUCUCACAUUUUUCCUCAAUAUCUACUUCUUGCACCUUCUUGCGAAUAUGAUCAUUUUUCAUCCUAUCUAAUAUUGUUCUCAUCUUAGUAUUCGCAUCUCUAGGACACUAAUCCUUUGAAUAUGUUGCACUUAAGCGGCCCGAUUAUUCUGCAGAACUUACUUUUCACUUUGGUAAGCAUUCUUUUAUCACACAACAUCCCAGUUGUGAAAAAAUCACCUAGUGUCACUGUUGUUGGGAUUCAUACUACUGUCACUACAAUUCUUAGAACACUGGACUACCCCCUUGCAGCAUAGGGGCUAAUAUACCUCCUUGCUAAGAAUGUGAGAGCAAGUGGAUAUGACAAAAACCCCAUAAUUUGUGCCCCAUUGGUAAGUUAGAUAGCCAAAGGAACCUAAGUGAUUGGAUUUCAUGGAAAAAACAGGCCAGUCAUCUACAAGUGUUCCAUGCCAUCUGAUUCUCGACUUUAGUAAAUAGAUAUCCUGUUCAGAUCCAAGGGGCAACUUGCAUUCCAUCUUUUCUUUAUUGUAUCUCAUUAUCUACUUUUGGGUUAUCUAGAUCCACCAACUGCACUGUCUAAGAAAAUCAUAUCAGCAUGAUUUAGAAGCAAAAUCAAACCACUUUAUGCAGUAGAGCAGAUGAUGAGAAUAGAAUCUUUCAACAGACAUAUCAGAAAGAUAAAAUAGUAAUAGCUCAGAUGGAAAUAUCAGAAAUAACCCAGACCUCUUAAAGAAAUUCGAAGGGAAGCCCAAAAAUGGAAUUAGUCGUGUAUCAUAUUCAAAUUUUUAAAAAUGAUCCCCUAGCUGAGAAGCACAUUAUGGCUUUGUAGAAGUUUAGUGAAAGAGAAUAGAGCUGUAAACUUUCAAAGCAAUAUUUUCAUAACCAAAAGUCAGAUUACAUUAGUGUUACCUCACAUACUCUAA